rnacentral:rRNA from 1 species
UACGUAGGGUGCGAGCGUUAAUCGGAAUUACUGGGCGUAAAGCGUGCGCAGGCGGUUUUGUAAGCCAGAUGUGAAAGCCCCGGGCUCAACCUGGGAAUGGCAUUUGGGACUGCAAGGCUGGAGUUUGGCAGAGGAGACUGGAAUUCCUGGUGUAGCAGUGAAAUGCGUUGAUAUCAUCAGGAACACCGGAGGCGAAGGCGGCUCACUGGGGCUUUUCUGACGUUGAGGAACGAAAGCCAGGGGAGCGAACGGG